GUCUGGGUGGCUCAGUUGGUUAAGCCUCUGACUUCAGCUCAGAUUGUUAUCUCACAAUUGUGGGUUCAAGCCCCGCUUUGGGCU
rnacentral:tRNA from 1 species